UCAAAGCCGUCUGGAGAGUCGCCACCACCGUGGCGCACCGAAGGAGCAAGCCCCGCGCCAUGCCGGCGCGGUGUGAAUCUCUCAGGUACCAAGGACAGGGGGAGCGGC
rnacentral:ncRNA from 2 species